rnacentral:rRNA from 1 species
CGAAUACGUUCCCGGACCUUGCACACACCGCCCGUCAAGCCAUGGAAGCUGGGUGUACCUAAAGUCGGUAACCGCAAGGAGCCGCCUAGGGUAAAACUAGUGACUGGGGCU